rnacentral:rRNA from 1 species
AGAACGAACGCUGGCGGCAGGCCUAACACAUGCAAGUCGAACGCCCUAGCAAUAGGGAGUGGCAGACGGGUGAGUAACGCGUGGGAACCUUCCCAGUGGUACGGAAUAGCCCAGGGAAACUUGGAGUAAUACCGUAUAUUACCCGAAAGGGGAAAGAUUUAUCGCCAUUGGAUGGGCCCGCGUAGGAUUAGCUAGUUGGUGAGGUAAUGGCUCACCAAGGCGACGAUCCUUAGCUGGUCUGAGAGGAUGAUCAGCCACACUGGGACUGAGACACGGCCCAGACUCCUACGGGAGGCAGCAGUGGGGAAUAUUGGGCAAUGGGCGCAAGCCUGACCCAGCCAUGCCGCGUGAGUGACGACGGCCUUAGGGUUGUAAAGCUCUUUUGGCGGGACGAUAACGACGGUACCCGCAGAAUAAGCCCCGGCUAACUUCGUGCCAGCAGCCGC